UCAAGUUCAAAGUAGAUGGGGUUUGGAAUUUGCUGAGGCUUCCAUAUACCCUUGUAGCUGGGGUUGUCGAUAAGUGGAGCAUGCCAUUUACCUUUGUAUGCUGGGUUACUCUUCAUUGGCUUCUUCCACUCACCACAGCCAGGAGCCUCCUCACACUUAGGGUUAUCAAUCUUUGGAGCCUCCCAUUCACCAUCCUCCUCAUCAUCCCAAUCUUCAGGUUUGGAUGCCUCGGGAUCUUCAAUUUCCUCAGGCUCAUCAUCCAACCAUCCUUCAGGUUUUGUAGCUUCCUCAUCUUCAAUUUCCAUAGGUGCAUCCUCGUCCCAAUCAUCUGGUUUUGUGGCAUCUGGAUCUGGAAUCUUAGCUCUCUCAUCCCAAUCCUCAGGCUUCUUAUCAUCUGGAUCAGGGAUAGUCUUGGCUGGAAUUAGUGCUGGCUCAAAGUCAUCAGCUGAUAGAAUGUUGACCUUUUUCUUUUCUUCUCCAUCAACCAAGAUCCUUAUCUCGUUAUCAGGCUUCAAAAUGGCAGUGUACACAUGGGUCAAUUUGUCUGAUGGCACUGAUGGUGGGUUCUUGACAUGAUGCUCAACAUACUCUCCACUCUUUGGGUUUUUAUGUUUUAGAAUAAAGUGGACUUUGUUUGUAGCCCCACAUUUAUCAGGUCCAAACAUUAUUGAGUAUGGAGAUUCAUUGUCAAAUCCCUUCGGCACCCACCCAGCUUCCUGGGGUCGGAGAUAUUUGAGAUACGCACCACCACACUCAAGGCCAUUUUGAAGACGUGUCUCAAAUUGGAGAACAACAGUUCCGUCCUUGAGAUUUACAGGUUCCUCAAGCUCCUUCACAAUUGCAUACUUCCUGGCCGGCUCACUCACGAGAAGCCCAU
rnacentral:lncRNA from 1 species